rnacentral:ncRNA from 2 species
UGAUGUGUCAAGGGAAUGGGUGCCCGCCGCGCGGCGGGUGAAAAGGGAAUCCAGUGUGAAUCUGGAGCGGUCCUCGCCACGGUGACGCGGAUCGCGGCGGCAGGGGAGUUCUCCAGCCACUCGGAUGUCGAAUGACGUCGACACCGGGGAAGGCGCCGUCCGCGGAUGAAGCGAAGCCCGGAGACCUGCCCAUUCUCGAAGGAUCCG